UACCAGCACCCCGAGUGGUCGGGACGUUUAUUGGGCCUAAAGCAUCCGUAGCCGGUUCUACAAGUCUUCCGUUAAAUCCAACUGCUUAACAGGUGGGCUGCGGAAGAUACUAUAGAGCUAGGAGGCGGGAGAGGCAAGCGGUACUCGAUGGGUAGGGGUAAAAUCCGUUGAUCCAUUGAAGACCACCAGUGGCGAAGGCGGCUUGCCAGACGCGCUCGACGGUGAGGGAUGAAAGCUGGGGGAGCAAACCGG
rnacentral:rRNA from 1 species